UGGGCGGGGCCUACACAUGCAAGUCGAGCGGUAACAGGAAGAAGCUUGCUUCUUUGCUGACGAGCGGCGGACGGGUGAGUAAUACUUGGGAACUUGCCUUUAGGAGGGGGAUAACCGCUGGAAACGGUGGCUAAUACCGCAUAAUGUCUACGGACCAAAGCAGGGGCUCUUCGGACCUUGCACCUAAAGAUAGGCCCAAGCGAGAUUAGCUAGUUGGUGGGGUAAAGGCCCACCAAGGCGACGAUCUCUAGCUGUUCUGAGAGGAUGAUCAGCCACACUGGGACUGAGACACGGCCCAGACUCCUACGGGAGGCAGCAGUGGGGAAUAUUGCACAAUGGGGGAAACCCUGAUGCAGCCAUGCCGCGUGUGUGAAGAAGGCCUUCGGGUUGUAAAGCACUUUCAGUGGUGAGGAAGGCCGUAAGAUUAAUACUCUUGCGGAUUGACGUUAACCACAGAAGAAGCACCGGCUAACUCCGUGCCAGCAGCCGCGGUAAU
rnacentral:rRNA from 1 species